UGCCAGCAGCCGCGGUAAUACAGAGGGUGCGAGCGUUGUCCGGAAUCACUGGGCGUAAAGGGCGUGUAGGCGGCUGGGUAAGCCGCGUGUGAAAUCCCGGGGCUCAACCCCGGAACGGCACGCGGGACUGCUCGGCUCGAGCAUGGUAGAGGCGAGUGGAAUUCCUGGUGUAGCGGUGGAAUGCGUAGAGAUCAGGAAGAACACCGGUGGCGAAGGCGGCUCGCUGGGCCAUUGCUGACGCUGAGGCGCGAAAGCGUGGGGAGCAAACAGGAUUAGAUACCCUGGUAGUCCACGCUGUAAACGAUGGGCACUAGGCGUCGGGGGGAGCGACCCUCCCGGUGCCGUCGCUAACGCAAUAAGUGCCCCGCCUGGGGAGUACGGCCGCAAGGU
rnacentral:rRNA from 1 species